rnacentral:rRNA from 1 species
CCUACGGGUGGCAGCAGUGGGGAAUAUUGCACAAUGGUGGAAACCCUGAUGCAGCGACGCCGCGUGCGUGAAGAAGGAAUUCGUUAUGUAAAGCUCUAUCAGCAGGGAAGAAAAUGACGUUACCUGAGUAAGAAGCCCCGUCUAACUUCGUGCCAGCAGCCGCGGUACUACGUAGGGGGCAAGCGUUAUCCGGAUUUACUGGGUGUAAAGGGAGCGUAGACGGCAUUGCAGGACUGGAGUGAAAGGCGUGGGCUCAACCCGGGCACUGCUCUGGAAACUGUACGGCUGGAGUGCAGGAGAGGUAAGUGGAAUUCGUGGUGUAGCGGUGAAAUGCGUAGAUAUUAGGAGGAACACCAGUGGCGAAGGCGGCUUACUGCAGUGGAACUGACGUUGAGGCUCGAAAGCGUGGGGAGCAAACAGGAUUAGAUACCCUUGUAGUC